GUCCACGCCCUAAACGAUGUCUACUAGUUGUCGGGUCUUAAUUGACUUGGUAACGCAGCUAACGCGUGAAGUAGACCGCCUGGGGAGUACGGUCGCAAGAUUAAAACUCAAAGGAAUUGACGGGGACCCGCACAAGCGGUGGAUGAUGUGGAUUAAUUCGAUGCAACGCGAAAAACCUUACCUACCCUUGACAUGGAUGGAAUCCUGAAGAGAUUUAGGAGUGCUCGAAAGAGAACCAUCACACAGGUGCUGCAUGGCUGUCGU
rnacentral:rRNA from 1 species